GGUUUGAUUAUGGCUCAGAUUGAACGCUGGCGGGAUGUUUACACAUGCAAGUCGAACGGCAGCACGGACUUCCCGGUCUGGUGGCGAGUGGCGAACGGGUGAGUAAUGUAUCGGAACGUGUCGCAGGCGAUAACUACGCGAAAGCGUAGCUAAUACCGCAUACGCCCUUCGGGGAAAGCGGGGACCUUCGGCCCGCACUAUUAGAAGGCCGAUAUCGGAUUAGCUAGUUGGUGGGGUAACGGCUCACCAAGGCGACGAUCCGUAGCUGGUUUGAGAGGACGACCAGCCACACUGGGACUGAGACACGGCCCAGACUCACGGGAGGCAGCAGUGGGGAAUUUUGGACAAUGGGGGAAACCCCGAUCCAGCCAUCCCGCGUGUGCGAUGAAGGCCUUCGGGUUGUAAAGCACUUUUGGCAGGAAAGAAACGGCACGGGAUAAUACCCCGCGCAACCGACGGUACCUGCAGAAUAAGCACCUCGGCUAACUACGUGCCAGCAGCCGCGGUAAUACGUAGGUGCAUGUUAUUCCGAACGCGAUUGGGCGGCAUGCGCAGGCGGUUCGGAAAGAAGAUGUGAAAUCCCAGAGCUGCACUUUGGAACUGCAUUUCUUUAACUAAUGAGCCAGAGUGUGUCAGAGGGAGUGGAAUUCCGCGUGUAGCAGUGAAAUGCGUAGAUAUGCGGAGGAACACCGAUGGCGAAGGCAGCCUCCUGGGAUAACACUGACGCUCAUGCACGAAAGCGUGGGAGCAAACAGGAUUAGAUACUCCUGGUAGUCCACGCCCUAAACGAUGUCAACUAGCUGUUGGGGCCUUCGGGCCUUGAAGCGCAGCUAACGCGUAUGAAGUUGACCGCCUGGGGAGUACGGUCGCAGAUUAAAACUCAAAGGAAUUGACGGGGACCCGCACAAGCGGUGGAUGAUGUGGAUUAAUUGAUGCAACGCGAAAAACCUUACCUACCUCAUGUCUGAAUCCCGAAGAGAUUUGGGGAGUGCUCGCAAGAGAACUGGAACACAGGUGCUGCAUGGCUGUCGUCAGCUCGUGUCGUGAGAUGUUGGGUUAAGUCCUGCAACGAGCGCAACCCUUGUCAUUAGUUAAGCGCGAAAGGGCACUCCAUCGAGACUGCCGGUGACAAACCGGAGGAAGGUGGGGAUGACGUCAAGUCCCCGCGGCCCUUAUGGGUAGGGCUUCAACACGUCAUACAAUGGUCGGGACAGAGGGUCGCCAACCCGCGAGGUGGGGAGCUAACCUAGAAACCCGAUCGUAGUCCGGACUGCAGUCUGCAACUGACUGGUGUGAAGUCGGAAUCGCUAGUAAUCGCGGAUCAGCAUGUCGCGGUGAAUACGUUCCUGGUCUUGUACACACCGCCCGUCACACCAUGGGAGUGGGCUUUACCAGAAGUAGUUAGCCUAACCGUAAGGAGGGCGAUUACCACGGUAGGAUUCAUGACUGGGGUGAAGUCGUAACAAGGUAG
rnacentral:rRNA from 1 species